rnacentral:lncRNA from 1 species
AUGUUGCUUUGGGCAAAUGCUUGCAAGGCUUUGUGUGGACAAUCUAGUCUUCCUGGAAUAUGUUUGCAUUUCUUCUUCAGAGCACACGUGGAAGGUACUAAGCUUGAUCUUUUGGCCUGGUUAGUGGCUCUGAGCAAGGCUGCGUGUCCUCUGCUUCUGCUGAAGCUACAAGGCAAUGGUCAGGUGAAAGCAGAAACUCAAAGCAAGCACUCUGGGAGCCAAACAGGAGGCUGGCAUGUCCCCCCCGCCACAUGGCACGCAUUUCCCCAGAAGUACCCCUGCCAAGGCCAUGCAUAUCUCUAUAAUUUGGUGCGUUCGGCUCCCCGUCCACAUCCCAUUUGUCUUUACCUCUAG